rnacentral:tRNA from 1 species
GCGAGAGUGGUGGAAUUGGCAGACGCGCUGGACUUAGGAUCCAGUGGAGAAAUCCAUGGGGGUUCGAGUCCCCCCUUUCGCA